UACGGGGGGGGCAAGCGUUGUUCGGAAUUACUGGGCGUAAAGGGCUCGUAGGCGGCCAACUAAGUCGGACGUGAAAUCCCCAGGCUCAACCUGGGAACUGCGUCUGAUACUGGAUGGCUUGAAUCCGGGAGAGGGAUGCAGAAUUCCAGGUGUAGCGGUGAAAUACGUAGAUAUCAGGAGGAAUACCGGUGGCGAAGGCGACUACCUGGACCAAUAUUGACGCUGAGGAACGAAAGUGCGGGGAUCAAACAGG
rnacentral:rRNA from 1 species